AAAGAAACGAAAUCCUCCACUUUCUUCGGAUCAAAUCACACUAUAAUAUAAAUAAAUAAAUUAAAUACAGAUAAAAGUAGGGUAUGUUGUUUACAUCACUCUCUACUCAACAUACAUAUAGAAUUUACUUACAUUGAAUUAAUUAGUUGACUGAUUUGCAAUCAACAAAUAAAGAAUGGAAGACAAAAACAAGCCUAAAUUAUAUGUAAGAUUGAGUAGAUAACUUGUAUCCUGAAAUAAUUGCUGAUAAUGCCAAUAAGAAGAACGCAAAGAAUGUCAUGCUAAUGGCUGCUGCUGAAGAGUCUGUAAAUAUGUUAUCUGCACCUUCCCGCAUCCUGUUCGUCAUGGGAACUGCUGUAGAAGCCGCAGAUAUCAACAAGUAGGACAUAAUCUGCAAUUCAACCCCAGAAAAACAAAAAAGAUUAAAUAAAAUUAUGCUAGUACUCACGCACUUGUCAAGUAGCAUCGUUAGGUGAUACCCUGCUUCCUGUUUCCAUCCUUUAAUUUGAAGGUUCAAACCAAAAGGGUAUAUAAAAUAAAUCACCAGUUUAACAAUUUGAUAAAGUAAAAGCAAUCCAUGCGACUCCUCAAGCUUCACCAACUCAAAAGCUCAUAGGCAUUUGCCAAUUAGGUGGUAUGUACUUGAUUUAUUCCAACAAUUGUAAGGUGAAACUGUAGCUUCAAAAUUGGAACCAUAUCCAGACUAAUGGACAUUAUUCUAGAAGCAAUAAAGAAAUGUCAAUGCAGUUGUAAUGAAAUCAUGGACCUCAUGCCUAGUCAAUACAGAGACCUUUCCUAUGUUUAUCACGGCAGCAUCAUUCUAGAAAGUGAUAAAUACUUUUCUACAGGAAACGAAAAAUUUUCCACAAUGUUCAAUCAAGGAAUCCCCAUCUUCAGGCAAUCUAAUCAAUGUAGAAGACUGCCCAUCAAUAGAAAGUUAAAAACGAUGAAAUUCAACUUGGAUUUUCUCUUCUUAUCCCCUUUUUCUCUGCUACCAAACAAAACCUAAAAGAGGAAGAAAAAAUGAAAAGGUGUAGAUAAAAACUCUUACCUGAUCACCAAAGAAGUCUACCAUAGCAGAAGUCCGUCGCUGAAGUGUAAGUUUUCCCGUCCAAAGCUCAUGAACAUGUCGCAGCACUUGUCCUCCCGUAUACAAAGUCGAAAGUAUUGCUAUUGCCAAUAAAUACCUGUACUCUUCGUAUCUGUCAAAAUUCUUCCAAUCGCCGUGUUUAUUACUGGCCAUUAUAAGAAAAGCAAGCAAAGAGAACAAGAGACCCAAUCCUCUCAAAGCCAGUGACCCUCUCUCCAAAAUUGCUUCCCUUUUCCAUCGCCUAGUGAUUGCCCCAAACCCAAAUCCCGUUCCUGUUCCAGUUCCUGCCUCCUCGUCGGCCACCUCGGGAGCAGUCGGUAUGGGAAGUGCCGACGGCGGCGGCGAUGAUUCGAAUUGUUUUUUGGGUGCUGUAUCCUCGGAAUUGGACAUCUUUCUUAGAAAUCAAGGAACCAGGCAAACAAAAUCAGAGAACAAGAAACCAGUGCGAAGAAAUUCAAGGUAUUUGAUCUGAUAGGACAAGGAAGGAGAUUUAUUUAUCAGUUCUUAAGUUCCAGUUGACAACUCUGAAUAAAAAAAAAAACAGUUUUAGUUGACAGCUCAGCCUUGGCUUGCAAUUCAAUUAAGG
rnacentral:misc_RNA from 1 species